GCAGGUCAGCGCCCGUCAGGCAAGAAACGCUGCUCCUGGCGAACGUCUCCUUCAUCUGCACAGAGCGAAAAUGUCAAGGGGAGCAUCGAACAAUUAGGCCAAACGUCUCUUUUGACUUCUCGUCAGACACGCCUGAUGGAGGUCUCAUUUCUCCACAUAUUGCUGCCUGGAUUAAUGAUUAAUUCCUGUAAACACAGACUGAGAGUUGUCUUGGACUGAAUCCAGGUAACCAAAGGACUCUGGCUUCACCACAACAAGCAGAGCUUUGACUUGAAGAACACAGCUGCUUGUGCGAGAGAAAAAAAAGAAGAAGAGCCAGAAGUUUCUUUGAUAAACAGUGAGAGAAAUGUCUGUGAACAGUGAAUUUGCAAACAAAAAAGAAGAAAGAAAACUGUAAGUAUUUUUUUUUUUUUUUUUCAUAAAUAAACCAGUACAUUGUGAAUAUUUUACAUCGUGUGCAGGUACAGUAGAUGACUUUCUGAGUAAUUUACAAUGUCAGUUUCCCCUUAAAUCAUUUUAAAAUCACAGUUAUCAAUUAUUAACUAUAACAAAGAGUUGCUGUGAUUAUGAGUCAGUGUGAGCCACAUCUGGUGCCAUUUUGGAGGUCAACUAGCAAACUGAAUGAACUCUCGUAAUUGUCGGAUUGUAUGUUGCAUAAAAACGCUAAAGGGGAGAAAUGCGUUCACUUUUGCAGAAGUAAAAAAAUAAUUAAAAAACAAAACAAACAGGACAGGAAAGACAGUUUACACUUACAGUAAAAUAUCCUAAUUUUUGUUUACAGGACGCCAUAAUCUCAGUCAUAUUAUUUCUUUCAAAAAUGUAGUAAAAGGUACUUUGGUUAGUUAUAAUAAGUAUCAAUUAUUAUUACAAAACAUUUUAGUAAUUGCAUUAAUUACAAUGGCAUCUGUCAGUUAUGAGAAUGAGUUACCAUAUUUCUCAUAUGUACAAUGUAUAAUUCUUACAUGUACAUUUAUUUCAUUUCUUACAUCUUUUUUUUAAAGUUCAAAACAUGGAGAAGUCCCGCAAGAAAUCAGGAAAAUGGGAAAUUCUGGGCUGCUCAUGAAGAUCAUGUGAUACAAUCAAAACUAGAUGGACUUAUUUUAGGAAAUAGUGUAAAGUUGUGUUUGUUUUGUAGUUUUAAACCUAGAGAUUUUGAAUUGACAGUGACAUAAAACAGUAAAUUACUCACAUAAACAAAAUAUAUAACUGUUAUAACACAUUAUAAUGUAAUUAUAAUAUAAAUAUUAUCAGUUUAUAAUAUGAUACACAUUUAGUACUUUUCCAUAUUACAUUUAUGUUUUUGUGACUACAUAAACUGUCCUAGUCUUAAAUCAAAUAUUAAAAAUGCUGUUAAAAGUUGACAACCUCUAAUAUGGCCACCAGAGUUCGCCCUCUACAGGUGCAGUGACAGAUCUCAUCCCCGCAAUCACAGAAAAAACGCAGUCCAGGAAUGUCGUGCCUUUCACCCUGACAGAAAAACCCCCUUUGCAAAAAAAUAAAACACAUAAUAAUACACAACAUACAGUGCAUUAUGAAGAAAUAUUGCGAUCCUGCUCCCUACAUACCACUAGAGUUGUCACAGCAGCCAAUAAAAUGACUACUUUAUAGGAUUUAUUAGUACAUCUGGGGCCAGUUUUGUGUAUCUGCUCAGCCGGAACAACCUGUGGCGUAACCCUGCUUAUAUUAAAACCUUACUUAUACAAUACAAAACUAUUUAAUGCAUUUUUUCCCACAAUAUGCAGCACUUAGAAACAUUCAAGUCUUUCCCCAAAGUCCACAUCCCUAAUUCUGAUUUAUAAAUGGCUUAUGCAUAUCAAACUUUUAUCACUUUUUUACUAGAGGAGGUACAAAAAGUGUGGAAUUUGCAUUGCUAAGUUGUCUGGAAUGACUUCCUUUCAAGAGAGGAAAGUAAAAUCGCAGCCUCUUGAUAGUCAGUGUUGGAAUUUCAACAUUUUCUGGUGGUGGUGGGGUAAUGUGAAGCCUUGUAAUGACUGUUUUUGGGCCAAAUGCCAAAAACCGAGUCUGUCCGGCGCGCGCUGUCGUCGGUUCAUUAUAUUAGUUUCGGGCCAGUUUUUGGAGGAGGGGUGAGGAAACAUGAUAGUCCACUUGGGAUGUCUUGUCUCUCUCGCGGUGAUACAGUAAUUCGCGCAUAAAUUUCACAGCUAUCAUCAUCAUCAUCAUCAUCAUCGUAGUCGUCGUCAUUGCAUUGGCCCUGCACUACAGUGGUCAUCAGAGAGGAAAGUUGCAGAGGGUGAGCGAUGCUUUCAAACAUACAUUAUUGCACAAUCCAGUGAGUAUACACAGCUGUGAACUCUGGCAUACUUUUUACACACACACACACACACUGUAAAGUUGACUGGCCUGUUGUCUGUGUGUGUUUAAACUGUUUCAGUGUCUCAGUGCAUCGUAAAAGAAUAAAAGCUGGAGAUAAUUUCUCUGCGUGACCUUGAGCUCUAAAACUAGGCAGAUUAAAAGCUUGUAGUAGGUAGUAUAUUAUCAUUUUAUAAUGUUUUUUAUCAGUUUUUACAGAAAUAUACUGAUUUUUUUUCAUAAGAAAAUACGUUUUAACUAAAUUUUUUUUCCCCCAGACAUCCAAAACUUGUUGGUUGUUGUCCUACAUCAGUUUACAGUAAAUAGGGACGGCUCAGAUACUACUACUUGUGAAAACAUUUCCAUAAUUACCUAUGUAGCGGGAACUUAAUGUACGAAAAAGAAAAAUCAAGGAAUUUUAAACAUGAAAUUCUCAGUCAGUUUUUUCUGGCAAUAGCAUUGCUAGAGAGCCUCUGAUGGUGGUUUUCUUCAUGUAUAUUGUUUUACAUGACUUAAUAAUUCUUUAUUUUGCAAAGGUGUAGUCAAAGACAUGUUGGACAUACACCUUGUCAGCCCUUAGACACAGUAAAUCCCUGCGUUUUUAGAUAUACCAUCUGUUAUUCUCCAAAAAGGUUGUAUUGGCCUUGUACGAACAAAAAUCGCCACAUUCUUUGGUCACAUUUGAUUGGAAAUGCUUUGGUUUUAAGGAUCAGUAAAGACCUUGUAAUUGUAGAUACUAAAUCAACACUCAAGUAACCUCCUUUGGUGUCACCAUGUUUAGUUGUUUUUACAUUAGAGGAUCCCAAGGAAGAUUUGAUGAUUUGCCCCCUAGUGGCUGUUUUUUUGAAUCCUCCAGGUUCACACUACAAUGAAGCAAGUAACGCUCACGUUGCAGCCGCUUGUCUACACGAACACGAUGGACACGACCUUCUAAUACUUCCUGCCCCCAUCAAGGAACUCUCAAGUACCUCUCAAGUACCAGAAUUCCCUCUUUGGUUUCACAAGC